CAACCUUCAUAGCAGAUGUAGUUGUUCGGUAUUAUGAAAUGCUAAAAGCAACCUCUAAUUUUGUUCUUUAAAAAAAAAAAUAAAGCAAAACUAAUUUUUUUUUAAAGAACAAAUUACUGUCCUGUGUAGAAACUACUUAGAAACUAAAGUUGAUCCUUUCAUUAAGCAUUUGUUUACUACCCUGUGUAUGAACAUGCAGGAAAAAUAUCCUGCUAAGAAGUCUAAACAGUGGAAUAACACAUUUCACUUCCCUGGGAUGUUUUUGUAGGGCAUAACCUGGGAAUAGGUCACAAGCGCUGGCACAACAGCCUUGGAGCAGGUCUCCUGCAGCAGAUCCUGCCCUCCCCACGGGGUGUGAACAGACCGCAGCCUCACUGUACUCCCCAUAUCACUUUAUUUCCAAAAAUUUUCAACUUUUUUCUACCUUUGCUAAACAUUACUUUUCUUCUUCUACAGAUAUGUUACGCUAUUAAUUUGGGGAAAGAAAUUAUUGAGGUUCAAAAGGACCCAGAAGCACUGGCUCAGUUAAUGCUGUCUAUGCCACUAACCAAUGAUGGAAAAUAUGUUCUGCUAAAUGAGCAACCAGAUGGCAAUGGCGGAAGUCCAAGUGAAAACAGAGGCGCUGAAUCUGAAGCAUAACUCACUUAGGCCUCUGGGGUCAGAGCACGCAGGAAGGAGAGCACCCUCCUUAAGGGAUUUUCAACUUCUCUGAUGUACAGGCACACUGACCUGGUCAGAACGCUGACAGUCGCUUGUGGAAUGUUCCUUCCGAUGCCUUGAUACAGAGACUUGGGAGGGAAACAGUAAGAAAUAGGUGACAUGGCGCCUACCUAUCUACAAUGUUAUUUUAGGUGCUUUGUGGUAAGUCCUUUCUUCAGACUGUGCUGUUGAGUGCUCAGGCAGAAGCCCUGAAAACACAUUUUGGAUGUCAUCUCUUCGGUUUCUAGGGUGCUCUUAAAAUGCAAAAUCCCAGAUUUGUAAUGUGAUAAAUACUAAAUAUUUCCUAUUAAUAUAAUCUAUUUUUGUAUUUUACUUAGUUUUUAAGUGCCUGUCAUUUUGGGAAUUAUGUGUUUAUAAGGAGCUGGUCUCAUGUUUGGACCUUGUAGCAUUCCCAUGGGCAGUUGAGUAGUGAGCACUGCUCUGAGGCCUGCUCACUGGCAGAGAUACAGGGCUAGUACUGGUAACUAUUUCAGGCAAAAGAUGUUUAACUACAAUAGAACCUUACUGAUUCGGCAUUCAAAAGCUUAAGGUCCACUCAGAUACAAUGGCUAUUCACUGUAACCAGGGGAUAGCUAAGAUACGAUGGCUAGUCACCAUGACCAGGGGAUAGCUAAGAUAUGAUGGCUAUUCACUGUGGCCAGGGGAUAGCUAAGAUACGAUGGCUAUUCACUGUGGCCAGGGGAUAGCUAAGAUAUGAUGGCUAUUCACUGUGACCAGGGGAUAGCUAAGAUACGAUGGCUAUUCAAUGAGCCAGACCCUCCUUAAAGAAGGGACCAAUUAAUUGUAAAAACUCACUUAAAGCACAGCUGGCUAUGGGACUUGGUGUGAAGUUCCUAUUUCUACCCCAGACCACUCUCCACUGUGACCAGGGGAUAGCUAAGAUACGAUGGCUAUUCACUGUGGCCAGGGGAUAGCUAAGAUAUGAUGGUUAUUCACUGUGGCCAGGGGAUAGCUAAGAUAUGAUGGCUAUUCACUGUGGCCAGGGGAUAGCUAAGAUAUGAUGGCUAUUCACUGUGACCAGGGGAUAGUUGUACUAGUUCUUGUUUCUUAUGAGCCAGACCCUCCUUAAAGAAGGGACCAAUUAAUUGUAAAAACUCACUUAAAGCACAGCUGGCUAUGGGACUUGGUGUGAAGUUCCUAUUUCUACCCCAGACCACUCUCCAACCACUCCUAAUUGUGAAAUAAGUAUAAAGAUCUUGAAAUCAUACAGUGUGAUUAAUUGUAACCAAGUUCAACAGCCUAUCUUUGUAAUACUAAUUUAGCAAU
rnacentral:lncRNA from 1 species